GAUGAACGCUGGCGGCGUGCCUAAUACAUGCAAGUCGAGCGGACGGACGAGAAGCUUGCUUCUCUGAUGUUAGCGGCGGACGGGUGAGUAACACGUGGAUAACCUACCUAUAAGACUGGGAUAACUUCGGGAAACCGGAGCUAAUACCGGAUGAUAUUUUGAACCGCAUGGUUCAAAAGUGAAAGACGGUCUUGCUGUCACUUAUAGAUGGAUCCGCGCUGCAUUAGCUAGUUGGUAAGGUAACGGCUUACCAAGGCAACGAUGCAUAGCCGACCUGAGAGGGUGAUCGGCCACACUGGAACUGAGACACGGUCCAGACUCCUACGGGAGGCAGCAGUAGGGAAUCUUCCGCAAUGGGCGAAAGCCUGACGGAGCAACGCCGCGUGAGUGAUGAAGGUCUUCGGAUCGUAAAACUCUGUUAUUAGGGAAGAACAUAUGUGUAAGUAACUGUGCACAUCUUGACGGUACCUAAUCAGAAAGCCACGGCUAUCUACGUG
rnacentral:rRNA from 1 species